GAUGAACGCUGGCGGCGUGCCUAAUACAUGCAAGUCGAGCGAACGGACGAGAAGCUUGCUUCUCUGAUGUUAUCGGCGGACGGGUGAGUAACACGUGGAUAUCCUACCUAUAAGACUGGGAUAACUUCGGGAAACCGGAGCUAAUACCGGAUAAUAUUUUGAACCGCAUGGUUCAAAAGUGAAAGACGGUCUUGCUGUCACUUAUAGAUGGAUCCGCGCUGCAUUAGCUAGUUGGUAAGGUAACGGCUUACCAAGGCAACGAUGCAUAGCCGACCUGAGAGGGUGAUCGGCCACACUGGAACUGAGACACGGUCCAGACUCCUACGGGAGGCAGCAGUAGGGAAUCUUCCGCAAUGGGCGAAAGCCUGACGGAGCAACGCCGCGUGAGUGAUGAAGGUCUUCGGAUCGUAAAACUCUGUUAUUAGGGAAGAACAUAUGUGUAAGUAACUGCGCACAUCUUGACGGUACCUAAUCAGAAAGCCACGGCUAACUACGUG
rnacentral:rRNA from 1 species